rnacentral:lncRNA from 1 species
UGUGCAUGGGUGUGUGCACAUGGGUGUGCUUGGGUGUGUGCACAUGGGUGUGCAUGGGUGUGUGCACAUGGGUGUGCAUGGGUGUGUGCACAUGGGUGUGCUUGGGUGUGUGCACAUGGGUGUGUGCACAUGUGCACAUUUUUCCUGUUCAGGGAUAACAGGAAACCAGAAUCUCAAAAACUUAGAAAAAUUUGUAGGCUCGUCCUGAGGAUUAUGGAAAGGAAUAGGAUUCGCUUAAUAUCCAUUAUGUAAUAUUACUUAUUAUUAAUUCUCUGAUAUUAGCCCUGAUAUAUGUGUUCCUGUUAGGACUAUUGCACGAUUACCUUGCCGGUGCAGGGCGGGACUAGACCACAACCCUGUGAGUGAGUGAUGUUUGCCCUGAAGAGAGUGAGGAGUCCCGGUGCCAGAUGUGACUGGAAGAGGCAGAUCUGAGGAGAGCAAAUGGCUGCGUCACUUCUUUGUGGGAUCGUCUGCCAGUUUGGCUUGAACCUGAAGGCAGAGAGAGCCCAGCUGGUGGCCUCUGAGUACAGUAGCAUUGCCCCAUCGAAGAGCAAACAGGGAAGCAACUGGCGCAGAUCGUUACUAAUGCUAUCACGACUCGGGCUCUGGCACUGCCCUUGGCCCGCGCGGUGACACCCGUGAAGGUCUACCAGCUGGCUGGCUGGGCUGACCCAGCCCUUGCACACGAGCGUGUGCACGCACACAUAACUGCAGACGGGGAAGGUACCCUGGAAAUGAUUUGCCCUGCAUUCCCAGCCUGACCGCUGGCCGCACCUCCCUCAUUACGGAGCCACGUGGUUGAAGCACCCAAUUCCCAGGCCUCCCCCAACCACCAGUAACCAACAUUUUGAAGUAAAGAGGGUGAUUCUCUUCGGCAGCAGCCAGGGCUCUACCUGUGUUGUGCAGGGUUUUCCAGACCGUACGAGUCCACCCUCACGUCUGCGAGCCACAUUGUUUUCCUUCUGGUAAUAGAUGCAGCAAAUAUAGCCGAGAAAUUUCCUUCAUCCAUAAUCCCGGGCCCUGAAAUAGUAAGUUAUGGAAGUUUCCCCCAGGCUCAGCCAGAAGACAGCUGCCGGACAGCAUUAGGUAAUGUUUCAGAAUAAAUGUGGUCAGG